ACGACCGGAUCGAAUCCGUUGCGUAUCGAACUACGUUCGAGUUCGAGCAGUGGGUCGAUCCGAGCCA
rnacentral:pre_miRNA from 1 species